rnacentral:piRNA from 1 species
UGCAACCACUUAGGAAUUCAAUGGAGCUU